UACAGAAAUGUAGCUCCUCAUACAUUAUAUUGUUCCUACGAAGAAUUAGAUUGAAUAAAGCUGCUUUGAAUAAAGCUCGUAUUACCAGCUACCACAUGUGAUGGAAAGGAUCCAAGUUAAACACUCUCACCAGAGCAUGCUCCAAGACAGAUGACUGAGCCCCAGGCUUGGCCAAUACAAUGCACUUCUAUUCUCUAUUUAUUUUUGUAGUUCAAAGACCUGGCAGUAACCCACUUGAUGCCUGCCAUAAGGACCAGUACACUCCUGAUUACUGCCCAGCGAUUUUAUAUCUGUAUGCCAGCUACUCAGACCACGUAUAAAGACUAGGGGGAUUUUUUGAAAGGAAAAGAAACCCCGGCUUCCACUUAUACUUUGAAAUUUCAGAUGAUAUACUGCCAACUUACAGACCUUGCUUUAAUCAGCAGCCACAUGAAAAGGCUGUUUCUAUUUACUCUAGGUCAUUUAGGAAACAAGC
rnacentral:lncRNA from 1 species